CAGCUUGAAUCGUAUGGCCCUGCACACGCGUAUACACAGCGGUGAACGGUUGUCUCGCUGACACCAAAUGUCUCUGCCACAACCCUGUAUUCUGCACAGGUGGCCAACUUGUACAAUGCUACCUCUCUCCAUUUAGCCAAAGAAUUUAGCUCCUAAACUCUUUGAUUUAGCAAGCCGGUUUGCAAUCUACAACCAUGCGUAACGUCAACUUGUGACGAAACUACGCUUUGUCCAUGGAUGUGUUUUUAGCC